AUUGAACGCUGGCGGCAGGCCUAACACAUGCAAGUCGAACGAGUCGAGGACGGGUGAGUAAUGUCGGGGACUCUGCCAGAGGGAGGGGGAUAACUGCUGGAAACGGUAGAUAACACCGCAUAACAUCGUAUUUGCCCAUAUGGGAUGAGCUAGUAGGUGGGGUAAAGGCUCACCUAGGCGACGAUCCCUAUCUGGUCUGAGAGGAUGACCAGCCACACGGGAACUGAGACACGGUCCAGACUCCUACGGGAGGCAGCAGUGGGGAAUAUUGCACAAUGGGCGCAAGCCUGAUGCAGCCAUGCCGCGUGUAUGAAGAAGGCCUUCGGGUUGUAAAGUACUUUCAGCGGGGAGGCUUUACCCGCAGAAGAAGCACCGGCUAACUCCGUGCCAGCAGCCGCGGUAAUAC
rnacentral:rRNA from 1 species